rnacentral:rRNA from 1 species
GGCGUAACGCGUAUGCAACCUACCUUAAUCAGGGGGAUAGCCCGGAGAAAUUCGGAUUAACACCGCAUAAAAUCACAGCAUAGCAUUAUGCAAUGAUCAAAUAUUUAUAGGAUUAAGAUGGGCAUGCGUGACAUUAGUUAGUUGGCGGGGUAACGGCCCACCAAGACUACGAUGUCUAGGGGAUCUGAGAGGAUGACCCCCCACACUGGUACUGAGACACGGACCAG